rnacentral:rRNA from 1 species
GAGUUUUGAUCCUGGCUCAGAACGAACGCUGGCGGCGUGCUUAACACAUGCAAGUCGAACGCGAACGGUUUCUUCGGAAACCUAGUAGAGUGGCGCACGGGUGAGUAACGCGUAAGUUAUCUACCCUCCCAUCUGGAAUAACUCACCGAAAGGUGUGCUAAUACCGGAUACGUUGAUUUAUCAAGAAAGGUGGCCUCUAUUUAUAAGCUACCGUGGGGGGAUGAGCUUGCGUACCAUUAGCUAGUUGGUAGGGUAAUGGCCUACCAAGGCAACGAUGGUUAGCGGGUCUGAGAGGAUGAUCCGCCACACUGGAACUGGAACACGGACCAGACUCCUACGGGAGGCGGCAGUGAGGAAUAUUGCGCAAUGGGGGAAACCCUGACGCAGCGACGCCGCGUGGAUGAUGAAGGCCUUUGGGUCGUAAAAUCCUGUCAGAUGGAAAGAAAUGCUAUUGGUUUAAUAUGCCUUUAGUUUGACGGUACCAUCAAAGGAAGCACCGGCUAACUCCGUGCCAGCAGCCGCGGUAAUACGGAGGGUGCAAGCGUUGUUCGGAAUUACUGGGCGUAAAGCGCGCGUAGGUGGCUUUUUAAGUCAGAUGUGAAAGUCCACGGCUCAACCGUGGAAGUGCAUUUGAAACUGGAAAGCUUGAGUAUUGGAGGGGGUAGUGGAAUUCCCGGUGUAGAGGUGAAAUUCGUA